rnacentral:rRNA from 1 species
AUACCGGCGGCCCGAGUGGUGGCCGCUAUUAUAGGGCCUAAAGCGUCCGUAGCCGGGCCCGUAAGUCCCUGGCGAAAUCCCACGGCUCAACCGUGGGGCUUGCUGGGGAUACUGCGGGCCUUGGGACCGGGAGAGGCGGGGGGUACCCCUGGGGUAGGGGUGAAAUCCUAUAAUCCCAGGGGGACCGCCAGUGGCGAAGGCGCCCCGCUGGAACGGGUCCGACGGUGAGGGACGAAGGCCAGGGGAGCGAACCGGAUUAGAAACCCUAGUAGUCC